rnacentral:rRNA from 1 species
AGCGUGAGCGUGCUAAGGUAGCGUAAUAAUUAGCCUCUUAAUUGGAGGCCAGUGAAUGGCAAGACUAGGAAUAGCUGUACUUUGUAUAUAAAAAGAAUUUUUCGUCUAAGUGAAAAGACUUAGAUAACAAAGGAAGACGAAAAGACCCCGCGGAACUUUACCUUUUCUUAAACUCCUGUCUACAAACUUAAAGGUUUAAUAGGUUUGAUUGGGGCAAUCUUGGAACCAACAAAACUUCCAAUUUUUUAAAAGUAAAAAUAUAAAAUUUAUUGAGGACCAAAAAGUAGUUACCCCGGGGAUAACAGCGUAAUCCAACUUGAGAGUACACAUCGAAAGUUGGGUUUGCGACCUCGAUGU